rnacentral:misc_RNA from 1 species
UGCCCCUCACUUGCCAAUACGUCUAGAUCAGCCAGGGCGUCGGCAUGUGUAGCGUAUUAUGUUGGGCUCUCUCGAGAUAAGGAUACGAAGUCCCUUUAUCGGUUGGUUUCCUGUGUGCGCGGCCCGUUCGUUUUUUUGUUACUUUCGCAUCGUUCGGUGCAUUCUGGGGGCUGUGUUGGCUUUUGGUGGCUUGCUUGGCCUUUUGGCUUUGCUUGUUGCUACUUGUCGGGCUGCUUACGGGAAUGUCGACCGUGGAGGUGCAUGAGUGGUGUUUGGUUUGUUACGUGUGGAUGGCUGUUUGCUUGUGCAACAACGUUCACGCUGCAUACCUCUUCAGUUUUGCGGCAAGGCUUGGUUUGGCUUGUGCAUAUUGUGGGUUUCCUGUGUUGCAUACCUAGUUGAUGGAAAAGUGUGGGUUUUACGAUUUUCAUUUUCGUCUUGCGUCGUUCUUUCGGUGUGGGAUGAACAAUGAAGCGAUCUUUAUGAUCCAUCGUGCUGUUGCGUUUGCAACAAUGAUGUGGCCUAUGAAGCAUCGUUUGGUCUCUUGUAUACGGAAGCUCAUUUGGGCUUGGGUCUUUAUAAGAUCUUCGUUACGCCCUUGUUAAGCGUUCUCGCUUCUCCUAAACGAUUG